AUGCCACAAGCGGAAAUUACGGCAGCGCCUCUUCCUGACUCGGUAUACAAACAAAAGCGACGUUAAAUUUAGAGCUUAUUUUCUCAGACCCACGCCUGUUUGGCGCAACUCUAGCGGUCGAAAUAAAAUGCGUGGUGUUUGCUGAAAUGUUUGCGUAAAAGCUCCUUCGGGGAGGCCAGGAAGUGCGAGUAUCGCCUCGGCUAGCUGCUUACUUAGCGUGACAUGCUAGCUCGACAUGUUUGUUGUCGUGCUGGAGCGAAGGAGAGCGACAUGAUGGCAUGAAAACCUUCGCCGUGUUUGCUGCACUCUUUGCCACCGCAAGGCUGAAAGUGGUAGACCACAACUUGGACUGAAGGUGCUCCCAGGAACCGAACCUCGCUGAGAUCCGCACAUAUUCACCAUGGCCUGGGCUUUGAAGUUGCCUCUGACUGACGAAGUGAUCGAGUCCGGACUGGUCCAGGACUUUGAUGCCAGUCUUUCAGGCAUCGGACAGGAGCUGGGGGCUGGGGCGUACAGCAUGAGCGACGUCCUGGCCCUGCCCAUCUUCAAGCAGGAGGAGUCCAACCUGCCGCCGGACGCCGACAACAAGAUCCUUCCCUUCCAGUAUGUCCUCUGCGCCGCUACCUCGCCAGCUGUCAAACUGCAUGAUGAAACGCUCACCUACCUCAAUCAAGGGCAGUCCUACGAAAUUAUCAUGCUCGAUAAUCGCAAGAUCGGCGAACUCCCGGAAAUCUCUGGUAAAAUGGUUAAGAGCAUCAUUCGCGUGGUGUUCCACGACCGUCGACUUCAGUACACGGAGCACCAGCAGCUGGAGGGCUGGCGCUGGAACCGGCCCGGGGACCGUAUUCUGGACCUAGAUAUCCCCAUGUCGGUCGGCAUCGUGGACCCCCGGGCCAACCCCACCCAGCUUAACACCGUGGAGUACCUGUGGGAACCGUCGAAGAGAACCUCUGUCUUUAUCCAGGUUCACUGCAUCAGCACGGAGUUUACCAUGCGCAAGCACGGCGGCGAGAAGGGCGUUCCUUUCCGCAUCCAGAUCGACACCUUCAAAGAGAACGAGGGCGGCGAGUACACCGAGCACCUCCACUCCGCCUCCUGUCAGGUCAAAGUUUUCAAGCCUAAAGGUGCCGACAGGAAGCAGAAGACAGACCGGGAGAAGAUGGAGAAGAGGGCGCCGCAGGAGAAGGAGAAGUACCAACCAUCCUAUGAAACCACCAUCCUCACCGAGUGCUCUCCGUGGCCAGAGGUUACGUACGUCAACAACUCCCCAUCGCCGGCCUUCAACAGCACGCCAAACAGCUUCCCGGUGGCGGAAGGAAACGGGUCACCCAACCACCAGCCUGAGCCCGUUGUUCAUGUAGCGGACAAUUUGUUACCUGCGGCCACGCCACAAGAUGCACAGCAGUGGCUUCUCCGAAACCGCUUCUCGCCCUUCUGCCGCCUCUUCACCAACUUCUCAGGAGCGGACCUGUUGAAGCUGACCAGGGAGGAUGUCAUUCAGAUCUGCGGUCCAGCGGACGGCAUUCGGCUUUUCAAUGCACUAAAAGGACGGGUGGUACGUCCGAGGCUGACCAUCUACGUGUGUCAGGAGUCGCAGCAGGCCCGUGAGCAGCAGCCCAAACACGAGAACGGAGACGCCGCCAGCAACACGUUCUUCAUCUACCACGCCGUCUACCUGGAGGAGCUGACGGCGGUCGAGCUGACGGAGAAGAUCGCCCAGCUCUUCAACAUCUCUCCCAGGCAGAUCAACCAGAUCUUCAAGCAGGGUCCCACCGGCAUCCACGUGCUGGUCAGCGACGAGAUGAUCCAGAACUUCCAGGAUGAAGUUUGUUUUAUUUUGGACACAAUGAAAGAUGACUCCAACGACGGCUACCAUGUCAUCCUCAAGUGACCGCAUCGCACGGACGCCCCCCCCCCCAGCAAUGAAGCCUCUGGAGGCUUUUUUCCCCUCCCCUUUUACUCUGGGGAGGGAGUGACUGUUACCACGGUGACGAAGCCUUCCGCCUCCUUUUUACUCCUCCAUGGGGAUGCUCUUCUUUCCUCUUCUCUCUUCUUUACGUCUCCUCGGCCAGUGUGGGCGGGGCGGCGGCUGCGUCUGGAAUCACUAUAAGCCGACCGAUUGGCCGAACUGCAUUGAAGAAAAAUACACUUCAGUCCACUGGAGCUACAACGCUUCCAAGCUAAGGAAAAGUUGUCAUAAAGGAAAGAACCGUCACAGCAGCUGCCCACUAGUGGUCAUCAUAAGGAGCGGUCUGCUGUAGCAUCAAAGAUCCUUCAGGACUGCUCUGCAAUUUUUAAGGUCCUACCUGCUGCAAAAAAAAUAAAACGAGGCAAAGAUCCUUUAUUAGACAGGAGUGCUCCAUCAAGUCAAAGAUCCUUUAUUUGACGAGAGUGUUUUGCUGUUUUUAACAACCUAGUCGUCUGCUACCAAGUCAACGAUCCUGAAGGAGUGAUCUGCUGUUUUUGAGGAUUUGCUUCAAAAAUGACAAUUGAAAAAUUACACUUGAGGAAAUUUUAACUCGCAAUAUUUUUAGUGCUUGGCUUUUUUAACGACCUACUGCAACAAACAUGAGUCAAAGAUCCUUUAUUUGACAGGA